rnacentral:tRNA from 1 species
AGCACAGUAGCUCAGUGGUUAGAGCACUACGGGCGCAUACGAAUAGAAUCGCCGGUUUGAUUCCGGCCUAUGCCG